UUAAGUUCAGCGGGUCUUCUUGCCUGAUUUGAGAUCACAUUGUGUACAGAGUGUGGCGCCUCGCGGCGUCACGACCAGAAACGUUGCAGAGCUGCGUGUCCGUCCUCCCGUUGUGAUUACUUUGCGCCGGAGCACAAACAUCCUCACGUAAGAGCACGGCCACGUCGCCCUCGUUCCUCGCUGCAUUUUAGGCAACAGCA
rnacentral:misc_RNA from 1 species